AUACGGAGGGUGCAAGCGUUAAUCGGAAUUACUGGGCGUAAAGCGUGCGUAGGCGGUUGUUUAAGUCAGAUGUGAAAGCCCUGGGCUUAACCUGGGAACUGCAUUUGAUACUGGGCAACUAGAGUUGAGUAGAGGGGAGUGGAAUUUCAGGUGUAGCGGUGAAAUGCGUAGAGAUCUGAAGGAACACCAGUGGCGAAGGCGGCUCCCUGGACUCAAACUGACGCUGAGGUACGAAAGCGUGGGUAGC
rnacentral:rRNA from 1 species